GACGAACGCUGGCGGCGUGCUUAACACAUGCAAGUCGAACGGAAAGGCCCUUUUGGGGUUACUUGAGCGGCGAACGGGUGAGUAACACGUGAGUAACCUGCCCUUGACUGCGGGAUAACUUCAGGAAACUGGGGCUAAUACCGGACAGGUAUCCUUGCCGCAUGGUGGGGGUUGGAAAGCUUCGGUGGUUUUGGAUGGAUUCGCGGCUUGUCAGUUUGUUGGUGGGGUAGUGGCUGACCAAGGCUUUGACGGGUAGCCGGCCUGAGAGGGCGACCGGCCACAUUGGGACUGGGAUACGGCCCAGACUCCUACGGGAGGCAGCAGUGGGGAAUAUUGCACAAUGGGCGGAAGCCUGAUGCAGCAACGCCGCGUGCGGGAUGACGGCCUUCGGGUUGUAAACCGCUUUCAGCAGGGGCGAAGCUUGUGGUGACGGUACCUGCAGAAGAAGCACCGGCUAACUACGUG
rnacentral:rRNA from 1 species